AUUUUUUAAAUAAUCCUGUUUAUAAUUUUCUGAAAUUUGCAUGUUUGUACAGACAAAUCAGCUUUCAUAAUACCUAUAUUCUAAGCAGAAUAUCUUCUUGGAAAGAUCACAUUUGAAUAUUCCAAAUUACUUUUCAAGGAACAACAGUAGGCAGUGCCAGCUUUUCACUGGUUGUUUAAAUAGAAGUUAAGAAAUAAUAAUUGAAAUAGAAUUGUUACAUUAAGUUUGAAAUAGGUUUUAAUAAUUUUUCUUUUGAAUGUCUUAAGAAAAAAUUAAUUUGUUGACAUAGACUUUGGUAAAAGAUCUGUCAUUUAAGUUCCAUGUGCCAGAAAUACAAGGAUUGAAUUUUGAGUCAUGUGAUGUAUUGCUCAACAACUUCUGGUGUAUCAAAUACUCAUAUAUUCUUUACACAACAGCUAUGCUUUCUGAUAUUUGUUAUUGAGCUUGAUAUACAGUUUGAUGCUUUUGACAAUCAUUGCUCAUUAGCUGUUGACUGUAACUGGUGUUACAUAUGUGAGCAAACACUCACAGUCCAACUUGUUUUUCCAAGCUUAUUUACAUGGCAUCAAUUGACAAUUGAUGCUAUCCAACGUACUCGCAAGUGCAGACGGCAUAUGGCAGAUUUUAAAUACAUGUUUUAACAUUGUUUUCUGUCAGUUUUAUUAGAAUGGAGAUAACAAUAUUGUUUUUUAAGCUCAGACGGCAUCAAUUGGGGAUUUGAUGGUCGCAAAUACCUGUUUACUGUCUCCGCUAAUGUGUCCCCAGUAAACUUAAUUUGCAACAAUCAAAUCCCCAAUUGAUGCUGUCUGAGCUUAAAAUACAAUACAGUUAUCUCCUAAAUCGUAAAGGUUUGAAGGACUUUUUUUUACUAAAAUUUACCAAAUUUAAAAAUAGAACUUUUUAUUCAAAUGACACCAGCAAAUUAAACUAUUUUAUACAUGACAUAAAGGAGUGAUUCUAUCUAGAACUCUUCUUGAUAUACAAAUCUGUAAUUGAAGCAUUCUCCCAAAAAAAAUAAAAGCUUAACUGUGCAGACGAUAUCAUGCUCCUUUGUUUUUGGGCUUUAAGAUUGCAUGUAUAAUCAAAACCCAUAUGGUUCUGGCUUUAUAGAUCUUAUUGCAGGCCCUCAUCACAGCUAAAACAAAAUUCAUUUAUUUGAACAUUCUUUUCAUCCUAUUUAUGUACAUAUCAAGCAAUUUAUCAAUAACUUUAUUCUCAUAUAUUCCAGUUACAAAAUGUUUUUGUGUCUAACAAUAUUUGUCAAGAUAUGCAGAAAUUCAUUCAUUGUGUACUUUUCUCCUAUUUCAACAUAUUUGUUAUCGAUUUAUAUAACAACAAUUUGUUGUUACAGAUACGAUAUUUAUUUCUGACAAUAUUUUUUAACAGCCUUAUGGUUAUACAUACGAUAUGAGUUGUUGCUCAUUGUGAUUUUGACUGUAUAAUCCAUUGCUUCCUAUAAUUGGUUAAAUUAUUAGUGUUCUGUAUGAUCUAGGUGAGCUUUUACUGAGUUGUCUCCCUUGCUUCCUAUAAUUGGUUAAAUUAUUAGUGUUCGUAUGAUCUAGAUGAGCUUUUACUCAGUUGUCUAAGUAGCUCUUGAUGUAAAAUAAUCUUUGACAUUCAUUUAAAUUUGAUGAAAAGUUUGUAAUUUUUUUUAUAUCAUUAUUGUGAUGAUUACAUGGUUUAAAUUCCUUAUUUUGAAAUGUAUGUAAUAUUAUAUUGUGAAAUAUGAGGAUGGCCAAAACCAUGUCAAAUGUAAAUGUUCAGAAAAUUAUUUAAUGUGAUUGGUGCUGUUGUAUAAAACAUUUUAUAACCUCAGUAAAGACAACAAAGGAGUUCUUUGAUUAUAUUUAUUCUAUCUAUAUGAAGAGCUCACUGCUGUUUUACAGGGUCUAUUAUAUAGUUCAUUUGAAGAUUUUUGAAAAAUACCUGGCAAAUAAAUAAAGGCAACAGUAGUAUACCGCUGUUCGAAAAUCAUAAAUCGAUUGAGAAAAAAACAAAUCCAGGUAUCAAACUAAAACUGAGGGAAAUGCAUCAAAUAUAAGAAAACUAUGUCACAACAGAAACACAA
rnacentral:lncRNA from 1 species